ensembl:miRNA
AAUAGGGAUUGUGGGAAAAUGAAAGUUGGUUAUGACCCUCCUCCCCAUAAGCAACUUUCCUUUCUCCACCUUCCUUAUU